UACGGAGGGUGCAAGCGUUAAUCGGAAUUACUGGGCGUAAAGCGCACGUAGGUGGUUUUGUAAGUCGGAUGUGAAAGCCCUGGGCUCAACCUGGGAAUUGCAUUCGAUACUGCUUAACUAGAGUAUGGUAGAGGGAAGUGGAAUUUCCGGUGUAGCGGUGAAAUGCGUAGAUAUCGGAAGGAACACCAGUGGCGAAGGCGACUUCCUGGGCCAAUACUGACACUGAGGUGCGAAAGCGUGGGUAGCAAAC
rnacentral:rRNA from 1 species